rnacentral:rRNA from 1 species
UUGGAACGACUGCUAAUACCGGAUGUGCCCACGGGUGAAGGCUUGCUGCCUGAAAAAGAGCUUGCGUCCGAUUAGCUAGUUGGUGAGGUAAAGGCUUACCAAGGCAUCGAUCGGUAGCUGGUCUGAGAGGAUGACCAGCCACACUGGGACUGAGACAAGGCCCAGACUCCUACGGGAGGCAGCAGUGGGGAAUUUUCCGCAAUGGGCGAAAGCCUGACGGAGCAAUACCGCGUGAGGGAAGAAGGCUCUUGGGUUGUAAACCUCUUUUCUCAGGGAAUAAAAAAAUGAAGGUACCUGAGGAAUAAGCAUCGGCUAACUCCGUGCCAGCAGCCGCGGUAAUACGGAGGAUGCAAGCGUUAUUCCGGAAUGAUUGGGCGUAAAGCGUCCGCAGGUGGUACAACAAGUCUAGUGUCAAAGACCGGGGCUUAACUCCGGGAUGGCGGUGGAAACUGUUGAACUAGAGGGUCGUAGGGGUAGAGGGAAUUCCCAGUGUAGCGGUGAAAUGCGUAGAGAUUGGGAAGAACAUCGGUGGCGAAGGCGCUCUACUGGACGGCAACUGACACUCAGGGACGAAAGCUAGGGGAGCGAAUGGGAUUAGAUACCCC